rnacentral:rRNA from 1 species
UACGUAGGGUGCAAGCGUUAAUCGGAAUUACUGGGCGUAAAGCGUGCGCAGGCGGUUUUGUAAGUCUGGCGUGAAAUCCCCGGGCUCAACCUGGGAAUGGCGAUGGUGACUGCAAGGCUAGAGUUUGGCAGAGGGGGGUAGAAUUCCACGUGUAGCAGUGAAAUGCGUAGAUAUGUGGAGGAACACCGAUGGCGAAGGCAGCCCCCUGGGUCAAAACUGACGCUCAUGCACGAAAGCGUGGGGAGCAAACAGG